UACGUAGGGGGCAAGCGUUGUCCGGAUUCAUUGGGCGUAAAGAGCGUGUAGGCGGCCAGGUAGGUCGGUUGUGAAAACUGGAGGCUCAACCUUCAGAGGUCGACCGAAACCAUCUGGCUAGAGUCCGGGAGAGGAGAGUGGAAUUCCCGGUGUAGCAGUGAAAUGCGUAGAGAUCGGGAGGAACAUCAGUUGCGAAGGCGGCUCUCUGGACCAGUACUGACGCUGAGGCACGAAAGCGUGGGGAGCAAACAGG
rnacentral:rRNA from 1 species